UCAUGGUGAGUAUAAUUCUCUUUUAGCUGGAAAAUUGAAGAUUGAAUUGUGCUUAAGAAGGCUUCUCUUGAAACAGGAGCAGCAUGGCUGAGUAACACUUCAGUCAUGGGCACUCAUUAUCCAGAUUCCAACCUCUAAAAGUGACCAAGUGAACUAGAAACAUUAUCUCUUCAGGAAUGGGAAUGUAGGAUUCCAUAUUUCUACUGUUUUUCCAGAAGAGAGUGAAACAUUUCUAGAAAAAAGUUACUUUUUAAGUGCCGAAUGGAAACCACAUGAAGAGACAGAUAUAAAAGUUCUUAAUGCAAAUCUGCAAUGCUGUUUUUGCUGACUUUUUUUCCCCUC